GACGAACGCUGGCGGCGUGCUUAACACAUGCAAGUCGAACGUGAUUUUUGUGGAAAUUCUUUCGGGAAUGGAAAUGAAAUGAAAGUGGCGAACGGGUGAGUAACACGUGAGCAACCUACCUUACACAGGGGGAUAGCCGUUGGAAACGACGAUUAAUACCGCAUGAGACCACAGAAUCGUAUGAUAUAGGGGUCAAAGAUUUAUCGGUGUAAGAAGGGCUCGCGUCUGAUUAGCUAGUUGGAAGGGUAAAGGCCUACCAAGGCGACGAUCAGUAGCCGGUCUGAGAGGAUGAACGGCCACAUUGGAACUGAGACACGGUCCAAACUCCUACGGGAGGCAGCAGUGGGGAAUAUUGCACAAUGGGGGGAACCCUGAUGCAGCGACGCCGCGUGAGCGAAGAAGGUUUUCGAAUCGUAAAGCUCUGUCCUAUGAGAAGAUAAUGACGGUAUCAUAGGAGGAAGCCCCGGCUAAAUACGUGCCAGCAGCCGCGGUAAUACGUAUGGGGCGAGCGUUGUCCGGAAUUAUUGGGCGUAAAGGGUACGUAGGCGGUUUUUUAAGUCAGGUGUGAAAGCGUGAGGCUUAACCUCAUUAAGCACUUGAAACUGGAAGACUUGAGUGAAGGAGAGGAAAGUGGAAUUCCUAGUGUAGCGGUGAAAUGCGUAGAUAUUAGGAGGAAUACCGGUGGCGAAGGCGACUUUCUGGACUUUUACUGACGCUCAGGUACGAAAGCGUGGGGAGCAAACAGG
rnacentral:rRNA from 1 species